UAAGUCCACUUCUACAGGUUUAUAAGUCCACUUCUACAGGUUUAUAAGUCCACUUCUACAGGUUUAUAAGUCUACUUCUACAGGUUUAUAAGUCCACUUCUACAGGUUUAUAAGUCUACUUCUACAGGUUUAUAAGUCCACUUCUACAGGUUUAUAAGUCCAUUUCUACAGGUUUAUAAGUCCACUUCUACAGGUUUAUAAGUCCACUUCCUCUACAGGUUUGUAAGUCCACUUCUACAGGUUUAUAAGUCCAUUUCUACAGGUUUAUAAGUCCACUUCUACAGGUUUAUAAGUCCACUUCCUCUACAGGUUUGUAAGUCCACUUCUACAGGUUUAUAAGUCCAUUUCUACAGGUUUAUAAGUCUACUUCUACAGGUUUAUAAGUCCACUUCUACAGGUUUAUAAGUCCACUUCUACAGUUUUAUAAGUCCACUUCUACAGGUUUAUAGGUCCACUUCCUCUACAGGUUUAUAAGUCCACUUCUACAGGUUUAUAAGUCCACUUCUACAGGUUCGUACAUCUGCUUUCCCCCACCAGAAAUUAGAACUAAUGGAGUCUUUUGUAUGAGAGGUGAAACAUUUUCAAGAACUAAGCCAGUCCAGGUGAACUUCAGAAACUGCUUUGGACCACAAUAACACAUUAACCCCGUGUGAGUGCGUCAUGUAAGGACAGGACUCUGGGUGUCACCUCAGUGUUAAUACUCUGUAUUUAUAGCUAUGAUCCAGAAACAUGAUCUAGUGCAGAGCAGCGCUGCACAUCAUGUUAAAUUAAAUCUCCGACCGUGAAUGAAGAAACUUGGAGGUGACACUCAGAGUCCAGAACAGAAGCUGGUUCCUCUGAGCUCAUUUUUACAAACAUUUUAGUGUUUCUUAGUGUUUUAUUUUUUUGUCUUAGACUCUGAGGACAAUGUGCUUUGACUGGUGUUGCUGAAAUGAUGUGACAAACGAACACAGUGACUCUCAAGCUGAUUAGCCGUGAUCCCUGAAAACAGACCACCUAAACAUAGGAAUAUGUCAUUCAGUGUUUUCGUGGUAGCGGCCGGCGGUUUGAGAAGCACCAGUGUCAGUUAUACUGAGAUGAUUGUGCUGUUCCAUGUGAUGAGUCGAAAUCCAAGUUCUGGACACAAUUAAAGUCAGCAGAUGAGGAUUGAAACAGUCAGCACUCAUGCACUUUUGGGAGUGGUCAGUCAGUUCUAAAUCCAGUGCACCUUAAAAACAAACAGUACAGACAUCGGUGUGACACUGAACUACGGGAGGACGCUGCAUUCACGAAAGACGACUAAACAAGAUGACAUGACUCAUAAACAUGAGGAAAGUUCAGCCUAGUUGUCAGUCACCACAUAACAUGUCCUUCCUAAAGUUAGGUCUGAGUUUAUCAGAACCUGACACUGACAGAAGUGAUUGGAAUCUCCAUAGCAACCGUACAGACACUACUCGACCCCCUGCCUGUUAAACUGAACCUCCGCUGUUGAACGGUACUAAUACUUAUGGUGAUGGCUAACGAGGCUGAACCUUUGUCGUACUUAUGGGAUCAGAUGUCGUAUCUUUUGUGAAUGUGAGGUGGUUGGUUCUGAACAGACUGGUUUUAGUCCAGUUUAACCCUCGGGUCACCUGUUCUGCUGGUACAGGUUCAUACAGUAUUAGCCUCUGUACUGAUUCAAUGAGAAAUCUUCUACAAACAGCAGGAUCUGUCCACAGGAAACCCAGAGCAGACUGCUCAACUGUCCCAUGUCGGAGCUCGUGUCUUUGAUUAUUAAAGGUAGACUCACAAACUAACAGGUUUAACAGCAAGAUGGGGUUUGUCAUGUGACCUGAAAGGUUUAUUGAGAGAAAAAAGCUGUGAAAGUGACGCAGGAGCCUGAAGUCCAGAUAGCUGAGGUUUGUGCCGUUUAACUGGAUAAACAUAUGACUUUUUAGAUUAAACAUCUUCAUUAAUGCAGUUUGUAAUCUUAUUUCAUGUCAGAGGAUGGAGCGCAGUGAUGUGAAGACAGGACUGGCUUUGUAGGAAAUGUGUGACUGUAUGCAGGACUGCUCUUAGAGAUUUCACUAAAUACAGCAAAAAAAACCUGUACAAAUGCAUUGAUUUCCAGGUGGAUGGUGUAUAAAUGUCCAAGCCUGGCUGUUUCAGACUAUAGUUUAGAAACAGUUCAGGUUUAAACCGGUCUCCAGUUUUCAGACGUUCUUGGUAUCCAUCAGUCGUUGAAUAUCUAGUCCAGGAUUUCUAGAAUCACAGUUCAAGUGUGAUAGUUUUUGCAUCCAUUUCUGAUUUAGAUUUGACAGAAAAGAGGCUCUGGGAAAUAUUCAAAGCAAUCUGCUGUAAAAUCCACUUAUUUAUGACAAAUGUUAUUUAUGACAAAUGUUAUUUAUGACAAACGUAGCUGCAUUUGUCCCUUUGAAGAUGAAAUGCAGACCAAAGCCCAGUGAUUUACAGAAUCUAAAAUAUGAGUUCAACCCAACUGCGCAUUAAACCCAGUACUAAACCACAGCACGUUUCUGUUCAAAUCGACAAAAAAAAAAUCACUUUUUAUAUUAAUAUAUUUUACACAAUUUACAUUAAACCAAAUCAGUCUCCAAUAAUGGUGGACAGAACUGAUCUGAGGACCUGCCUGAGAAUCAGAAACCUGUAACUGAGGACUUCACACAACAUUCGUUUGUCUGGGUCUGUGAGGCACUGGGAAAAGUGGAGGGAAUCACCAUAGCAACCAUAUAUGAAGGGCAGGAAUUGCUAUGGAAACUAUAUAUUAAGGUGGGAAUCACCAUAGCAACCAUUUAUAAAGGGUGGGAAUCGCUAUAGAAACCAUAUAUUAAGUCGGGAAUCGCCAUAGCAACCAUUUAUAAAUGGUGGGAUUAGCCAUAGCAACCAUAUAUGAAGGGCGGGAAUCGCCAUAGCAACCAUAUGUGAAGGGCGGGAAUAGCAACAAUUCUUCUUCUCUUUGUAAGUUGUCAGACAUUUUAAGAUUGAAGGGACACAACAAACUGAAUGUGAAUGGUGUUUUUGGGUUUAAAGGCGCUGCGCAGACCCUGUUCUCUGGAAUCUUCAGUGAAUGCGACACAGACUAUGGAGAGCCUCUUGCUGCGAACUCUGAAUAGGUUUGUUUCGAUGUGGAAGUGGACGUUGAGUCAAUAUUUGAUGGAUUUUGUGUAGAAAAUGAGCUGGUUGUGUCAGUGACAAAUAAACCAAAACGAACCCUGGUGUGACUUAGUUCAGAUCCCCAAACUGAAUGUGAACAUGCGAUUUACUGUACUGUGCUGAACCAAAUAAAAGUCGGAAUCAUG